UAACACAUGCAAGUCGUACGUGAAAGUACUUUCGGGUAUGAGUAAAGUGGCGCACGGGUGAGUAACACGUAGGUGACCUGCCUUUAGAGGGAAUAACCAGAAGAAAUUUGGCUAAUGCCGCAUACGAAGUACAAAGCUAAGAUUAGUACUUGAAAGAAUGCCUCUGUAUAUGCAUUCACUAAAAGAUGGGCCUGCGGUACAUUAGCUAGUUGGUGGGGUAAAGGCCUACCAAGGCUUCGAUGUAUAGCCGGUCUGAGAGGAUGAUCGGCCACACUGGAACUGAGACACGGUCCAGACUCCUACGGGAGGCAGCAGUGGGGAAUAUUGCGCAAUGGGGGAAACCCUGACGCAGCAACGCCGCGUGAGUGAGGAAGGACUUCGGUCUGUAAAGCUCUGUUAAUGUGGAAAAAUGGUUAGUGGUCUAAUAGGCCAUUGAUUUGAUGGUACACAUAGAGGAAGCACCGGCUAACUUCGUG
rnacentral:rRNA from 1 species